UACGGAGGAUCCAAGCGUUAUCCGGAUUCACUGGGUUUAAAGGGUGCGUAGGUGGAAUGACAAGUCAGUGGUGAAAACCUGCAGCUUAACUGUAGAACUGCCAUUGAUACUGUUAUUCUUGAGUACAUUUGAUGCGAGUGGAAUGUGUCGUGUAGCGGUGAAAUGCUUAGAUAUGACACAGAACACCAAUUGCGAAGGCAGCUCACAAAACUGUAACUGACACUGAGGCACGAAAGCGUGGGG
rnacentral:rRNA from 1 species